GGCGGUUCUUGAACUCGGUAUUGGAGCUAAUAUCACUCAAAAUCUCGAGACAGUAUGAAAUUGCUUUGAGCUUCCUUGGUGAGUAGUCUCUCUGCUUCGUCUCUUUAUCACAACAUUUCACUGAACUGAGGAAAUAAAAACUGGUUUUGCCAUUAAAUUCCAACAUUUGUUAUGUUGAGUUUGAUUAGGAAGUAACUCUCCAUGAGAUUCAUACAGAAUAUAUCAAGCUUUGUGGGCAGUGUAGAAGAAAUACUGAUAUUAAAAAGCUUUAUGACAACCUUGAAAUUGCAUUACAAACAUUUGACAUUGCCCUAGAACAAAUAUAUAGUUGAAUCAGCAUAUGGAAUGGUUACAACAAAAAUUGAAGCAGAGAAUUAUAUAGGCUAAACUGUCUAAGAUCAGAACCCUCAAAACGAAUUUGAGAAAACAAGGUAAGAAUAUGAACUACACAUACACUACAGAGACCUAACUGAAGCAACAAUCCCAUCUAUUUGACAAUUCUCAAAACUUCAUAUUUCCCCACCUCUGGCCCCCGAACCUUUCACUGUAUGGUGUGUUUCAGGCGACACAAAUUAAUUAGGUUUAAUCUUCCUUUUCGAAAUCUGAAGAGGUGCCUGCAAUUGUCUGAAUCUCGAGAAGGGACGUGUGAAAUGCAAAUAUAGCAUUAUCCAUCAACAAUGAACUGGUCUUCUUGAUUAUCUCCUUCGACCCGUGCAUCACCAUGAACCAUACCAUUUACAUGGUGCAAGUUCUGCAUCAUCUGGGACAUAUAUUGACCACUAGCUCCCGUGUGAUCAGAAAGCGCCGUGGGCUGACUAGUCCACUGUGAAACAAUUCCAAGUAACUGAUUAGUAAGAUUUUGUUGUUCAUUAAGUAUUCGAGCUUGAAUCUGGCCCAUUUCUACUUGGUGUUGAUUUAACAUCUCAUCAAUCCUCUUCUUCCAUUCUGAUCUCCUCCGACUCUGUUUCUCUUCCCAUUCCUGCUCAUUUUUCAACCCUUCCUCUCUUCUUCGCUGUCUCUCUUCACUCUCCCUCUCCAUAGCUUCCCAUUCUUGAAUUCUCUGCCCCCUCAAAUUCUUCUUAGCUUUCUCCCUCUCUUCUCGAUCUUUAUCCAUUUCUUCCAAUUUCCUCUCACGUUCCCGCUCAAUUUCCAUGUGAAGAUGCUCUCUUCGCUGCCUCUCCCGCUCUCUCUCCGCCUCACGCUGCACGAAUCGAGUUUCCAUCUCCCUUAACCUCCCCAACUGAUUGACAAGAAAACCCCAUGCCCUCUUCUCCAACCCUUUUGACACCUUUCUUUUCCUUGUAUCUGAUCCACUCGGCUCUAUAUCUUCACAAACAAAUCCAUCAUCUCCAUCCUCUCUCAUCGGGAUAUCACUUUUAUUACCUCCGUUAUAAUUCUCUUCACCCUCCUCCGCAUCAUAGUCAAACUCCAAAUCCAAAACCCCAUUCUCAACCCCAUCAAUCCCAGCUGCAAAAUCCCCCUCUGCCGAUUGACCCAAAUGCCCAAAUUGAGGUAUAUCCAUCCCAUGACCACUCCCCUCAAACCCUCCACUAUUUUCAUUCACCUCCCCCACAACCACCAUCGAAUCAUUACCACCAAACAUCAAUGCCACAUCCCCAAACACCUCCUUGUAUCGAAGAAAAUUCGACCAAUGUGUCACCCCCUCCAUCCAAUCAAAUUCCUCACCGCCCGAGCCUCCUCCCACCAAUGAUUCAGGCUUCUUAAUCUUCUGCUUCACCAAGGAAUACUGAUGCCUCAUGUUCUGCACUUUGGUUGACACAUCUUUCCAAGUCCAUUGCCACGGGUACGUGGCCGGGUCCCGGACAUGGUGCACUGUAUUCACAUGUAAAGCAAUGGGCCUGUAUUUUUUCUCUCGAGUUUUCAUCUUAACCAAAGUCCCAUUACGCACCAUCUCACCAUACUUGUCUAUUAAAGUCCUUUCCUCUGCCUCAGUCCACUUCUUUCUUCGGGGUUGAGGCAUCAUCAUUUAUACAACUACAAUAGUUCUAUGCUCAUCCAAUCAAAUAACUAAACACUAAAUAAAAUUUCAAGAAUUAGGAUCAAGAUUCUUGACCCUAACAUAAGUUUGUAUAUGCAGAUUCCUCUAUAGUUAUGAAGAAUCAAGGAAAUGGUUAAGCACUGACCUUGAGAAAAUCGGCUUUAAUGGGGUCUUGCAAUUGGAUUGAACUGAAAUGGCCCCUGGGAUAGGGGACGAAGUUUGGGAGGAAGAAUAUCGGGAAAGUUGGGGGAAGAAUUUGUGAUGAGAGAGAAAGUGGACUAUGCUUCCAUCGUUGAGUGGAAAAGUGAAUUAAUUUAUUUUCAGUGAAAAAAAAAAAAAAAAUUGUGCC
rnacentral:lncRNA from 1 species